rnacentral:lncRNA from 1 species
AGGGAUCAAUUGUUAGUGACACGUAGGAGGGUGGGGAACGAUGCUAUAUACGUGUUUUAAAUUAGCUACUAAAAGAAUCCAUCCCUAUAUUUCAAAAAAGGAGAAGUAAAUAAGUUGGUGGAUUUCUUUCAACAAAAAAUCAAUCAAAUUCCUAGUCUUAAUCAGAUUUUGCUACGUGACGUGAACGCUGGCUAUUGGAUUUUCUCAGUAUCUCUUAGUGUUCUAAUUAAUGUUAACUUUAGUUUUUUAGCACUGUAAGCUUUAUUUGUGUUUCUUUCACAUCGUUUUCUUACUUUGAUUUUCUGGUUAUUUAGAUUAUUUUGUCUUGUAUAACCCAUAUAGAUUGCUGGUGGGCCAACCUUUUGCAUUCCUCUUCUAUACUAUUCGGCAGUGUUAAAUUUGAUGGAAACUAGCAUAAGUGCACAUAUAAUCCACAAAAUUUGAUUGUCUUGUAUAUCCCUAAUCUCG